UCGAGAAUCAUUCGCAAUGGGCGAAAGCCUGACGAUGCGACGCCGUGUGAGCGAAGAAGGCCUUCGGGUUGUAAAGCUCUUUCGCUUGGGAACAAGAGAAGCUAGAUAAUACCUAGCGGAUUUGAGGGUACCAGGUAAAGAAGCACCGGCUAACUCCGUGCCAGCAGCUGCGGUAAUACGGAGGGUGCAAGCAUUAAUCGGAUUUAUUGGGCGUAAAGGGCGCGUAGGCGGCAUUGUAAGUCAGAUGUGAAAUUCCAGGGCUCAACCCUGGAGCUGCAUUUGAAACUACAAAGCUAGAGGAUAGAAGGAGAAAACGGAAUUCCACAAGUAGCGGUGAAAUGCGUAGAUAUGUGGAAGAACACCGGUGGCGAAGGCGGUUUUCUAUUUUAUACCUGACGCUGAGGCGCGAAAGCAAGGGGAUCAAACA
rnacentral:rRNA from 1 species